GAUGAAGAACUUAGCGAAAUGCGAUAGUAAUGUGAAUUGCAGAAUUCAGUGAAUCAUCGAAUCUUUGAACGCACAUUGCGCCCGCCAGUAUUCUGGCGGGCAUGCCUGUUCGAGCGUCAUUACAACCCUCAGGCCCCCGGGCCUGGCGUUGGGGAUCGGCGGAAGCCCCCUGCGGGCACAACGCCGUCCCCCAAAUACAGUGGCGGUCCCGCCGCAGCUUCCAUUGCGUAGUAGCUAACACCUCGCAACUGGAGAGCGGCGCGGCCACGCCGUAAAACACCCAACUUCUGAAUGUUGACCUCGAAUCAGGUAGGAAUACCCGCUGAACUUAAGCAUAUCAAUAAGCGGAGGA
rnacentral:misc_RNA from 1 species